rnacentral:rRNA from 1 species
CCUACGGGGGGCUGCAGUAGGGAAUAUUGCUCAAUGGGGGAAACCCUGAAGCAGCAACGCCGCGUGGAGGAUGAAGGUUUUCGGAUUGUAAACUCCUUUUGUUAGAGAAGAUAAUGACGGUAUCUAACGAAUAAGCACCGGCUAAAUCCGUGCCAGCAGCCGCGGUAAUACGGAGGGUGCAAGCGUUACUCGGAAUCAAUGGGCGUAAAGAGCGCGUAGGCGGGAUAGCAAGUCAGAUGUGAAAUCCUAUGGCUUAACCUUAGAAUUGCAUUUGAAACUGUUAUUCUAGAGUAUGGGAGAGGUAGGUGGAAUUCUUGGUGUAGGGGUAAAAUGCGUAGAGAUCAAGAAGAAUACUCAUUGCGAAGGCGGCUUACUAGAACAUAACUGACGCUGAUGCGCGAAAGCGUGGGGAGCAAACAGGAUUAGAUACCCUAGUAGUC